AAGUACCAAAGAAGAAUAUAGAAAAAGUACAUGGAGAUACCCUCCUUGAAGCCGAAGGAUCAACACUCACCUGCAGAAACCAUACAGAAAAUGUUCUGGGGAAAUGCAAACGUGGAUAGAAGCAAGUUUCUUUGGUUAGCAUCACAAGUAGAAACAUAUUCACCAACAGGAAGUCCUGGAACACAGCCAGUGCAACAGCAGUGAAGUUAUUCUUUGCUACAAUACUGCUCCACUGGACUAAACAAGUAUAAAAAAUGGAUGACAGCAGGAGGACACCUGGCCAGCUGUUGUAUGGUGAGCUGAACUGAGGAGAUCUCAAAUAGGGCAGGCUGAAGGAACAUGCCACAGACACAUUGAAGAACAAUUUCAAGUAAUGGAAGCAUGGCUGCAGAAGACUGGGAAAUAAUAUCAGGAGGAAGACUGACCCAAUGUGGAGCAAUUGGAGCAGCAAAGGUGUGCAGCCAGGUGAAGCUGCAGCAUUUCAGCUUGCAACAGCUUUUGUAAAGAGCAGUCCCUCUCCCAAUCAAAGAGCCCCAU
rnacentral:lncRNA from 10 species